AUUGAACGCUGGCGGCAGGCUUAACACAUGCAAGUCGAGCGAGCGGCGGACGGGUGAGUAAUGUCUGGGAACCUGCCUGAUGGAGGGGGAUAACUACUGGAAACGGUAGCUAAUACCGCAUACCAUCAGAUGUGCCCAGAUGGGAGUAGCUAGUAGGUGGGGUAAUGGCUCACCUAGGCGACGAUCCCUAGCUGGUCUGUGAGGAUGACCAGCCACACCGGAACUGAGAGACGGGCCAGACGCCUACGGGAGGCAGCAGUGGGGAAUAUUGCACAAUGGGCGCAAUGGUGAUGCAGCCAUGCCGCGGGUAUGGAGAAGGCCUUCGGGUUGUAAAGUACGUUCAGCGGGGAGGCGGUACCUGCAGAAGAAGCACCGGCUAACUCCGUGCCAGCAGCCGCGGUAAUAC
rnacentral:rRNA from 1 species